UGAAGUCACACAAAGGUGAGGUUUGUGCUUUACAUAAAAGUAUGUUGAAACUGUAUGUUUCACUCUUUCGAACGAAGAAACUACAAGAAUACUAACCGAAGAGUUUGACCUCAGGUUAUCGCCCAGUGAACUCCACAACUUCUCACCUGAAGAGAGAAGACCAGAGACAGUUUUGGAGUGGUUGUGAUAACCUCAGCCUGACCCCUGAUUGGACUAAUCUCACCCUCAUCUUUACUCGCUGGUCAGCUGACAGAACGCUUCUCUGCAAUUGGAUUCACCCUCAGGGCACAGUUGACUGGAGCCCCCCUGACCUCUCUGUCACCCCUUCCUAACCCACGUUAGCCAAGGCAUCCUGGGAACAAAGAAGAAAUCGAAGGAAGACUCUGCUGUGUCUUAAUGUCCUCUGAACCAAAUCACAACCAGACCCGUUCACCCGGGGGUGUAGGCAGUGCCACCCAGGCCGGCAGCCCCUCUAGCCCUGGUCAGCCAUAGAAGAGGUUCAUUCCAGCCUUUGACCUCUCUUUCAUCUGUUUGUGGGUCUGAGGUGUUCUCUCACACCCAGUAGUGAGAGGAGAGGAGAGGGUGACUGAAAGCUGCUGCAGCUGCUGUCCAGUUCUUGUGUGUGUACUGUGAGAAUAUGGCAUCUGAAUAUGCGUGAAUAUCCGAGUCCAAAUUUGAUUCAAAUUAUUUUUUGUUAUUGUGAAUCUGUCAUUUGCUUAAAUAUAGAUCCAAACUUAGCCGGUAGAAUUAGCCAAAUUUGCCAUCCGUUUCGCAUGAUUUUCUGCUACUGGUUGUUCUCUGUUGUGUAGCCUUCUGGGUCUCAUGACUGGAAUACACUCGUCUCUCUUUCCACUUAUUCUAGUGUCUUGCAAGGCAAGGGCAAACACCUUCACAUGUACACACACACAAAACACACAUCACCCUCCUCCGCCGCCCCCACACACACACACCUCUGCUGACCUCUUCUUCAUCUCCCAUAAGGCCUUGGGGUGAGGCAGCCUGGCACCAGACAGUUAUUUAAACCCUCAGGCAGCUUCACAACAGGUCAGAGACAGAACGGAGAGAGAGAGGGGGAGAGAGAGAGAGGGAGAAAGAGAGACACAUGUAUUCACAGCUCAUUAUUUGCUGAUUAACUGGUGUCGUAACUUAAGAUGAGGGAUGUGGACUUUUUCUUUUUGAAUAGAAAGAACUUAGACUUUGUGAAGUUUUGCUAAUGACAUUCAGUGAUUGUUGGCCAUUUGCUGUAUUUGCAUCAAAAUUCCCUUUAGAAAUAUAUAAAUACCAAAUAAAAUUUGAAGUCUAAGAAACUAAUUAGCUUCUUUUACUUUAAUUACUGUCUUUGUAGAUUCCCUCUCAGUCUUUAAACCCAUCCCUUUAAAACAGAAAAAUAUGUUAUUCAGCCAUAAAUUAAUUUUGUGUUUUUAUUAUGUUUCAUUUAAUUGUAAUCCCAUGAAACAGGAAAUAAAAGCACGGGGAUGCUGUGAUUGGAUUAAAAGUAGCCUUCGUAAACAUUGUGACCCAUGUCUUUGACACACCUCCUUUCUCCUCUUGAAGAAAGUCUCUUCAUAACAAGAACGGCGAAAGAUGAAGGUCUCCUUUUAAAAGAGGACACGGGAUGGGGAGGCAGACUUUGGAGUCUUUGUUAAGCAUGCGGGUCUGUGUUUUGUGUCGGUUUUGUUCUUCUAAAUCCUCCUUGGUUUGUGUUUGUCUCCGAGCUCUGCUUUGAGCGAUUAGGGAUGAGGGUUUGAACGGCUCGGUAAAAUGAAGACAUAAUUUCAGCACUUUAUUGUAGCUUUGAAUUGUGUUUCUUUUUAUCAAUAAAUUACACUGCUUUGAAUAUUA